UACGUAGGGGGCCAGCGUUGUCCGGAAUCAUUGGGCGUAAAGCGCGCGUAGGCGGCCCGGUAAGUCCGCUGUAAAAGUCAAAGGCUCAACCUUUGAAUGUCAGUGGAUACUGCCGGGCUAGAGUCCGGAAGAGGCGAGUGGAACUCCUGGUGUAGCGGUGGAAUGCGCAGAUAUCAGGAAGAACACCGACGGCGAAGGCAGCUCGCUGGGACGGUACUGACGCUGAGACGCGAAAGCGUGGGGAGCGAACAGG
rnacentral:rRNA from 1 species